GCUAUAUCGGAGCCAGGUGCGUCGGUAAUACGGAGGUUCCAAUCGUUAUCCGGGAUCAGUGGGUUUAAAGGGUCCGUAGGCGGCCUUAUAAGUCAGCGGUGAAAGUUUUUGGCUUAACCAAAAAAUUGCCAUUGAUACUGUAGGGCUUGAAUAUUUGUGAAGUAACUAGAAUAUGUAGUGUAGCGGUGAAAUGCUUAGAUAUUACAUGGAAUACCAAUUGCGAAGGCAGGUUACUAACAAAUGAUUGACGCUGAUGGACGAAAGCGUGGGUAGCGAACAGGAUUAGAUACCCCGGUAGUC
rnacentral:rRNA from 1 species